ensembl:misc_RNA
AUGACAGCCCUGGAGACUGAAGUCCGCAGGCUGGAUGCACACAGGCAGUAACAGUGCAAGCUUCCUACAUAUUCCACUCCACCAGUAUGCCUCAACCCUGAUCUGCCGCAACCAGCUCUAGGGAUGAGAGGGGAAUUCAACCUUUGCACCUAGCCAAUCCUUGGCAUCC